rnacentral:rRNA from 1 species
UGCAUUGGAUUGAGACAAUGUACAAAUGUUAUCGAUAAACAAUUGGAGGGCAAGUCUGGUGCCAGCAGCCGCGGUAAUUCCAGCUCCAAUAGCGUAUAUUAACGUUGUUGCAGUUAAAAAGCUCGUAGUUGAAAUGUGGGAUGAAGUAUAUAAUGAAUUUCUAAUUCAAUUCUAUAUUGAUUCCCCUCUCCAAUUUAUUAUUAUGGGUAUUAAUUUAUUUGUAAUAAGAAUUGGUCAUUUACUGUGAGAAAAUUAGAGUGUUCAAAGCAGGCAUUUGCUUGAAUAGAUUAGCAUGGAAUAAUACUAAAAGGCUUUUAUGGUCGAUUUAAUUGGUUUGUUCAUAAAAGCAAGAUUAAAAGGAACAGUUGGGGGUAUUCAUAUUCAAUAGUUAGAGGUGAAAUUCUCGGAUUUAUGGAAGAUGAACAGUUCCCAAAAGAAAAUUUAUUGCCCCUACCCUCCAAU